rnacentral:rRNA from 1 species
GUGGGGAAUAUUGGGCAAUGGGGGAAACCCUGACCCAGCAACGCCGCGUGAAGGAAGACGGUUUUCGGAUUGUAAGCUUCUUUUAUCGGGGACGAAAAAAAUGACGGUACCCGAAGAAAAAGCCACGGCUAACUACGUGCCAGCAGCCGCGGUAAUACGUAGGUGGCAAGCGUUGUCCGGAUUUACUGGGUGUAAAGGGCGUGUAGGCGGGACUGCAAGUCAGAUGUGAAAUACCAAGGCUUAACCUUGGGGCUGCAUUUGAAACUGUAGUUCUUGAGUGAUGGAGAGGCAGGCGGAAUUCCUAGUGUAGCGGUGAAAUGCGUAGAUAUUAGGAGGAACACCAGUGGCGAAGGCGGCCUGCUGGACAUUAACUGACGCUGAGGCGCGAAAGCGUGGGGAGCAAACAGGAUUAGAAACCCUGGUAGUCC